GCCGAUUUUACAACUCACUGAGUCAAAACAAAUCGACUCGCACCUCAAUGAAAUUCCUGCAAAAUUCUCUCAUCUCAAUUCAACAAACCUUCAAAAGACCAAAUCUUUCCACCAUGAAAGCCAGAUAACAUUACACCCCAUUAUAAUUACACUAAUUAAUCUCCCAUUAAUCCCAUAAAAAUCAUAUCUUUAAUCAUAAUCUUCCCUUAAUUAAUUGAUUUUCUCUCUCCUCCAAAUGGGUAAAUCACUACCUUCAACAGCAGGAUUAAAGAAUUUUGCCAGAAUUAUAACAUCUGAAAGAAUCACCCCUCCAAAACAAGUCAAACCCAGAUCACCAAAUCACAACAAAACAUCUGUCUCAACUUCACAGUCACAACCCCGAGUUGACUCGGUCAAACUCGGGCUGAAAAUGGACAACUCGGUGAGUCGAACUCGGGUUCCUUUGUCGGAGGUGGUUGUGGAUUGUGCGAGGCGCUGGUUUCAAGACACUCUUAAGGAGGCUAAAAAUGGGGAUGCUACAAUGCAGGUUUUAGUGGGUCAGAUGUAUAACAGUGGUUAUGGUGUUCGAAAGGAUACUGAGAAGGGGCGUAAUUGGAUUAAUAUAGCUUCCAAAGGAAGGUCUUCUGCAUGGAAAGUUAGCAAUAAACAGCCAGGGUACAAUGUAAGUGACUCAGAGUCUCAGGAUCUCUAAGACACCAGAAGCCACAUUUAAUACUAUGUGACAGGCAGAAGAAGGAUCCAACUUUGCUCGAGGACCUUUUCAUAUUCCAAGCAUUCUCUUCAGGUUCCUCUAUUUAUUUACUCCCUGUUGCACUGCUCCUAAGUGCACUACUCUUAUUGGCUUUCUUAAGCCUUCAAACAUAUAAAAUUCCCAAAUCUAUAGGAUAUCAAAUGUACAUGCCUAUCAAUCUUACAACUGGCUUUUAAAGAAAACUUUUCAUGAACCACUUGUUGCUGGGAUGAGAAGAUGAUCACCCUUCUUACUGGUAUUGCAAUAUUUGGUAAUUGUUUCAUAUAACUCCAUAUAUGUAGAUUAUAUAAAAUAUCUAAUUUACUGAUAGAAA